rnacentral:rRNA from 1 species
GCCUCGCGGCCUAUCAGCUAGUUGGUGGGGUAAUGGCCCACCAAGGCGACGACGGGUAGCUGGUCUGAGAGGAUGGCCAGCCACAUUGGGACUGAGACACGGCCCAGACUCCUACGGGAGGCAGCAGUGGGGAAUAUUGGACAAUGGGCGAAAGCCUGAUCCAGCAAUGCCGCGUGGGUGAAGAAGGUUUUCGGAUUGUAAAGCCCUUUCGGCGGGGACGAUGAUGACGGUACCCGCAGAAGAAGCCCCGGCUAACUUCGUGCCAGCAGCCGCGGUAAUACGAAGGGGGCUAGCGUUGCUCGGAAUGACUGGGCGUAAAGUGCGCGUAGGCGGCUCAUACAGUCAGAUGUGAAAUUCCUGGGCUUAACCUGGGGGCUGCAUUUGAUACGUGUGGGCUUGAGUGGGGAAGAGGGUCGUGGAAUUCCCAGUGUAGAGGUGAAAUUCGUAGAUAUUGGGAAGAACACCGGUGGCGAAGGCGGCGACCUGGUCCUUGACUGACGCUGAGGCGCGAAAGCGUGGGGAGCAACCAGGAUUAGAUACCCUGGUAGUCCACGCCGUAAACGAUGUGCGCUGGAUGUUGGGCGGCUUAGCCGUUCAGUGUCGGAGUUAACGCGUUAAGCGCACCGCCUGGGGAGUACGGCCGCAAGGUUGAA